CUUAAGUUUGUAAUUGCUCUUAUCUUGGCUGUGACGGUCUGUACUUUGGCAGCGCCGGCUCCAGAACCCAAGCCAGAUCCAAAAGCUCAGCUUCUGGCAGCUGCUCCAUUAGGCUAUGCAGCAUAUCCCUACGCAUACGCUAGCUACGUUUCCCCGUACAGCAGUGUUCUGGCUCCAUACACCACUUACGCAUAUCCUAGUCUAGCUUACAGCUACAACUACCCUUAUGCGAUCGUGUAAAAAGCAG